rnacentral:rRNA from 1 species
AUGGUUUUGGGAUAUUCUCCGGAUGAAUCCCAAGGGAUUGCCAACCGCCUUAACUGUCGGCUUGGCUCCUUCCCCACCUCCUACCUGGGGAUCCCCAUUAGCGACUCCCGCCUCACGGUCGCUGACUUGCGCCCCGCUGUGGGCAAACUCAGCCUCCGUAUUGAGCCGUGGCAGGGCCGGUGGCUCUCCAAGGCGGCGCACACCAUCCUGAUCAACUCCCCCCUGACCAAUUUCCUGCUUUUCAUCAUGAGCUUCUAUAGUAUGCCUGAGACUCUACGCCAUGAGGUUGGUACGAUCCAAGCCCGCUUCUUUUGGGCGGGUGAGGGCGAUAAGCAGAAAUACCACAUGGUUUGGUGGUCUGAGAUCUGCAAGCCCAAGGAUCAGGGUGGCCUGGGCAUCGUGUCAUCCAAGCGGAUGAACGUUGCCCUCUUGACCCGCUGGCUUUGGCGCAUUGUCAAUGGCGAGGGUGGCUUGUGGCUGCAAAUUAUCCGGAAUAAAUACCUCGACGGCCGGCCCCUUGCGUUCUGUCAACGGUCCGACGGCUCACAUUUCUGGCAAUCUCUCAUUCAGCUUUUGCCUAUCCUGCGCAUUGGCACCUCCAUCUCGGUGGGCUCGAGCGAGGCCACCCUCUUCUGGUUUGACCGGUGGGAUGGCGAGGUCCCUUUCGCGGCCCGCUUCCCGGAUUUAUUCUCCAUUAUCGUUGACCCUCGGGUCUCGGUCGAGACGACCCUUCUUGACUUAGGGCGUCUUGCCUUCCGCCGCCCUUUUGGGGCUGCGGAACUAGCAGCCUGGCACGAUCUCCUUGACGCUGUGGCCCUCCAUGAACCGGCCCUCUCACCUGCGCCUGAUCGGGUCUCCUGGCGCCUUGAGGCCUCGGGCCGCUUCUCCACUCGAUCCCUAUAUCGCACCAUUGUGGCCACCCCCGCCCCGCCCCCUUCGAGGUGA